GCUGUGGCUCAGUGGUAGAGCAGCUGCUUUGCAUGCAAAAGGUCCUGGGUUCAAAUCCUGGGUAGGGGUG